rnacentral:rRNA from 1 species
GACGAACGCUGGCGGCGUGCUUAACACAUGCAAGUCGAACGGAAAGGCCCUGCUUGCCGGGUACUCGAGUGGCGAACGGGUGAGUAACACGUGGGUGAUCUGCCCUGCACUUCGGGAUAAGCCUGGGAAACUGGGUCUAAUACCGGAUAGGAGCCAUUUUUAGUGUGAUGGUUGGAAAGUUUUUUCGGUGUAGGAUGAGCUCGCGGCCUAUCAGCUUGUUGGUGGGGUAAUGGCCUACCAAGGCGGCGACGGGUAGCCGGCCUGAGAGGGUGGACGGCCACAUUGGGACUGAGAGACGGCCCAGACUCCUACGGGAGGCAGCAGUGGGGAAUAUUGCACAAUGGGCGCAAGCCUGAUGCAGCGACGCCGCGUGGGGGAUGACGGCCUUCGGGUUGUAAACUCCUUUCGCUAGGGACGAAGCUUUUUGUGACGGUACCUAGAUAAGAAGCACCGGCUAACUACGUG